rnacentral:rRNA from 1 species
AGCAGCCGCGGUAAUUCCAGCUCCAAUAGCGUAUAUUAAAGUUGUUGCAGUUAAAAAGCUCGUAGUUGAACUUCAGGCCUGUCCAGACGGUCCGCCUUAAUUGGUGUGUACUGUCCUUGGGUGGGUCCUACCUUCUGGCGAAGCGGCAUGGCCUUAGUUGGUUGUGUUGGGGAACCAGGACUUUUACUGUGAAAAAUUAGAGUGUUCAAAGCAGGCAAAUAUGCUCGAAUACAUUAGCAUGGAAUAAUGGAAUAGGACGAUGGUUCUAUUUUGUUGGUUCUAGGACCGUUGUAAUGAUUAAUAGGGAUAGUUGGGGGCAUUAGUAUUCAAUUGUCAGAGGUGAAAUUCUUGGAUUUAUUGAAGACUAACUACUGCGAAAGCAUUUGCCGAGGAUGUUUUCAUUAAUCAAGAACGAAAGUUAGGGGAUCGAAGACGAUCAGAUACCGUCGU